AUUGAACGCUGGCGGCAUGCUUUACACAUGCAAGUCGAACGGUAACAGGCCUUCGGGUGCUGACGAGUGGCGAACGGGUGAGUAAUGCAUCGGAACGUACCCAGAGGUGGGGGUUAACGCAGCGAAAGCUGUGCUAAUACCGCAUGUGAUCUGAGGAUGAAAGCGGGGGACCAAGCAGCAAUGUUUGGCCUCGCGCCUUUGGAGCGGCCGAUGUCGGAUUAGCUAGUUGGUGGGGUAAAGGCCUACCAAGGCGACGAUCCGUAGCUGGUCUGAGAGGACGACCAGCCACACUGGGACUGAGACACGGCCCAGACUCCUACGGGAGGCAGCAGUGGGGAAUUUUGGACAAUGGGCGCAAGCCUGAUCCAGCAAUGCCGCGUGCGGGAAGAAGGCCUUCGGGUUGUAAACCGCUUUUGGCAGGAACGAAACGGUGUCCGCUAAUACCGGGCGCUAAUGACGGUACCUGCAGAAUAAGCACCGGCUAACUACGUG
rnacentral:rRNA from 1 species